rnacentral:tRNA from 1 species
UGGGGGAUGUUCUAACGGUAGGAUGCUCGGCCGUACAACUGACGCGAUCCCGGUUCGAAUCCGGGUCCCCCAA